GAAAAGUUAGUAUGACAUGGUAUCUUCACUAUAGCUUUAAAACUGAGCCCACUACAACCUAAAAAUCACAAGUUGCGCUAAUGCGUUUAAGAAAAUAG